CGUUCAAUACUACACUAUCGUACUAAAUAGUAUGCAUUAUCAGUAACGACAUAAUAGCUGAUGGACUGAUUUGGCAUACUAUGUGAUAAGAUUAGGAAAUCAGUCUUACUACGGAUAAAAAAAGAAUUGAGAAGAAUACCGGCUUAAAACUAAAAGGCAGGUUCACGGUGGGUCAAUGCAGCAACACAACCUGGCGUAAUACAGCGAGUUAUAGGACGCCAAUCCAAAUCAGGUCCUCGACCAUCCCUCCUCCUUCUCAGACAUAGCUGAUUAAGUCUCUAUGUAGAUGCCCGGCUGGUCGAUAGCACCACUGGUGAUUAGAACCCUGGACCCCAGCAUAAGUGGACCUACAGAUGACGUUAGGGAAGGUCAAUUGAGGGUUAAGAGCCUUGCUCAGGAGUCCAACAGUGGCAACUUAUCAGAGUUUGGGCUUGAACCUGCAACCUUCUGAUUGCUAGACCAGUACCUUAACCUCUGAGCUACCCCCGCUCACAGGGACCACAACAACAGUGUUUCAGUCAGAACAAUCGCUAACAGCAACACCUGAGAGAAAUACCACAACACAGAGGGGGUCAAAGUACCAGUCUAUAAAAAUAUGAGGCACCAGGGUAAAGCAUGACUACACAGGACUGAGAAAUUCUUCUUAUAAAGGAAAGCUUAUAAAGAUUAGCGCUUUUCCACUGGCA